rnacentral:rRNA from 1 species
AACGAACGCUGGCGGCAGGCUUAACACACGCAAGUCGAGCGCCCCGCAAGGGGAGCGGCAGACGGGUGAGUAACGCGUGGGAACGUGCCCUUUGGUUCGGAACAACUCCGGGAAACUGGAGCUAAUACCGGAUAAGCCCUUCGGGGGAAAGAUUUAUCGCCAAAGGAUCGGCCCGCGUCUGAUUAGCUAGUUGGUGAGGUAAUGGCUCACCAAGGCGACGAUCAGUAGCUGGUCUGAGAGGAUGAUCAGCCACACUGGGACUGAGACACGGCCCAGACUCCUACGGGAGGCAGCAGUGGGGAAUAUUGGACAAUGGGCGCAAGCCUGUUCCAGCCAUGCCGCGUGAGUGAUGAAGGCCUUAGGGUUGUAAAGCUCUUUUGUCCGGGAAGAUAAUGACUGUACCGGAAGAAUAAGCCCCGGCUAACUUCGUGCCAGCCGCCGCAGUAAGAC